GACGAACGCUGGCGGCGUGCUUAACACAUGCAAGUCGAACGAUGAAGCCGCUUCGGUGGUGGAUUAGUGGCGAACGGGUGAGUAACACGUGGGCAAUCUGCCCUGCACUCUGGGACAAGCCCUGGAAACGGGGUCUAAUACCGGAUACGACACACGGAGGCAUCUCCUGUGUGUGGAAAGCGUUAGUGGUGCAGGAUGAGCCCGCGGCCUAUCAGCUUGUUGGUGGGGUGAUGGCCUACCAAGGCGACGACGGGUAGCCGGCCUGAGAGGGCGACCGGCCACACUGGGACUGAGACACGGCCCAGACGCCUACGGGAGGCAGCAGUGGGGAAUAUUGCACAAUGGGCGGAAGCCUGAUGCAGCGACGCCGCGUGAGGGAUGACGGCCUUCGGGUUGUAAACCUCUUUCAGCAGGGAAGAAGCUUUUAUCGGUGACGGUACCUGCAGAAGAAGCACCGGCUAACUACGUGCCAGCCGCCGCCGUAA
rnacentral:rRNA from 1 species